rnacentral:tRNA from 1 species
GCCCUGAUAGCUCAGUGGUAGAGCAACCGCUUCGUAAGCGGUAGGCCGUUGGUUCAAAUCCGACUCGGGGCACCA